UACGGGGGGGGCAAGCGUUUGUUCGGAAUUACUGGGCGUAAAGGGCUCGUAGGUGGCCAACUAAGUCAUACGUGAAAUCCCUCGGCUUAACCGGGGAACUGCGUCUGAUACUGGAUGGCUUGAGGUUGGGAGAGGGAUGCGGAAUUCCAGGUGUAGCGGUGAAAUUCGUAGAUAUUCGCAAGAACACCAGUGGCGAAGGCGGCUCACUGGCCCGGUACUGACGCUGAGGUGCGAAAGCGUGGGGAGCGAACAGG
rnacentral:rRNA from 1 species